CACUCUGGCCUUCCCCUGGAACCGUUAAGCUGGGUUUACACUAGCAACAUAUUGCAGCAAUUUACUUGCGCGGAGGAACUUGCAGCGCGAGUUGCGAGUGUAAACUUAUCGCCAAGUCGACUUGCGACCGUAGCAAUUUAUUGCGGAAGUGACUUGCUGCACGUUUUCCGCUUCCAGUGUGAACACCACGCAAGAGCUAUCUGCAAGUAACUUGCAGCUUUUAGGAUUUAUUUCUAUUUCCUGCAAGUAGGAAGCGCAAGUUAUAAAAUGGAGGAUAAACGAGAAUGAACGAAGCAGGACACAGAAAAUUUUAUUGAAUCCGUGGAGAGCUACCUCGAAAUUUGGGACGUACAUAACCGGGACUUUAAGGAUAGAAUGAAGAAGAUGUGUGCAUUGAACGAAAUCUCGUAAAUAUUCGACACGUCAGUGAAAGAGGUACAAAGAAAGUGGCAUAACUUGAAGACCCAAUUUUCUCAAGAAGUUAGGAAACUGCAGAAAACAAAAAGCGGCUCUCCUGGCAUAGUUUCGGAUUCGCGGUGGCCUUAUUUUUCUGCAACGAAAUUUCUAGAAAGUAGUGUUGCCACAACCUCUAACAGAAUAUCUUCGCUAUCAACAAAGGAAGAAGAAAUUGUUACAGGAGAUGAUGUGCCUGUUGCUAAUGAGGGGAAGAAACGAAAAAGAAAGGAGACUAAAGGAAGUGGUAAUGGGCUCAUUGAAAAGACAGAAAAAAUUCUGGGCCAGGAAACUGAUGCUUUCCAAACCUUUGGAGAUUAUAUGUCUACUGAGCUGCGGUCACUGAAGAAUGAAAAAAUGUAAACAAACUGAAAAUAAUGAUUCUGAAAAACAUCAUUGAAAUAAGUGUGAUUGACAGUGCAGAAAUAUCAUCUGCUCCAGUUUCGCCAGUGAGAGAGACAAGUGCUGCCAGUCAAUGCAUACUUAAUGUUACAGAUUUUAUGAACAUAGAAUAAUGAUAAUAGAAUAUAUGUAUGAUACCGAAAUAAAACAUUAUUUUAUUUCCAGAAUGUAGUGUUUAUUCAACAACCUUAAAAAAUGGCUCAGUAAACCUGUAAUGAUUGGUGAAUUUAGGCUCACUGGAAUGUGUACAUUUUGGGCUUUAGUUAAGGUCUUACAAAUAACAUCUUCAGAAAUUGAUUUUUAAAAUGUUUGACAUAUAGGAACAGUAAAUGCUUAUUAAAUCUGUAUGAUUAUUAGCUAGAAGCUUAAAUGUGGUACACUAUCACUGAUUGUAUGAGAAGUAGUUUAUUCCGAUUGUGUGCCAAAAUAAUUAGCCACAAAUGUAAGAUUAUAUUAAUAAUAAAUGAAAGACAAUUAAUAAAGAAACUGAAUGGUAGGCUGUAUUUAGUUUCUUGGCCUACACAGCUCUUUGUGAAAGCUGUAAUUGUACUGUGCAAAAUAGUUCAAAAUUGCAACGAAGGAAGGAUUUUUGUAAAGAAACAAAGUGGGUUUCAAUUCCCAGCCUGAUCCGGAUCUCCUAGUGAAAGUUAUAUACAGAAUAGUUAUUUUCAAAACUACAAUUAAGGAAAGAAUUUUUGUAAAGAAACUCAAAGGUAGGUUGUAAUCCUUUAUUGGCCUCCACAGCUCCUUGUGUAAAUUGUAUUGUGCAGACUACAGUUUAUUUCAAAAUUGAAAUGUUUGGUUGCAUGUCAAAUAUAGUCUAUCGGACAUAUUUGCUGCCAUUUCCCAUGUUACCCUCCAAUAAAAAACAUUGCCUACACAUUGCUACCAUCCAGAACAAAAUAGUGAACAUAAAUUGCCAAGUAUUGUGAAUACCAAUUUGCAGUAAUGUUGGAGGAAACUGUUUACAUUUUGAUUCCUCAAAUAACUUGUUGCAGUUGGGCCAGUGCCAUUAUGUUACUUUGU